GACGAACGCUGGCGGCGUGCUUAACACAUGCAAGUCGAACGGUAAGGCCCUUCGGGGUACACGAGUGGCGAACGGGUGAGUAACACGUGGGUGAUCUGCCCUGCACUUCGGGAUAAGCCUGGGAAACUGGGUCUAAUACCGGAUAGGACCCUGGGAUGCAUGUCCUGGGGUGGAAAGCUUUUGCGGUGUGGGAUGGGCCCGCGGCCUAUCAGCUUGUUGGUGGGGUGAUGGCCUACCAAGGCGACGACGGGUAGCCGGCCUGGGGGGGUGACCGGCCACACUGGGACUGCGAUACGGCCCAGACUCCUACGGGAGGCAGCAGUGGGGAAUAUUGCACAAUGGGCGCAAGCCUGAUGCAGCGACGCCGCGUGAGGGAUGACGGCCUUCGGGUUGUAAACCUCUUUCAGCACCGACGAAGCGCAAGUGACGGUAGGUGCAGAAGAAGGACCGGCCAACUACGUGCCAGCCGCCGCCGUAA
rnacentral:rRNA from 1 species